CUACGGGCGGCUGCAGUGGGGAAUAUUGCACAAUGGGCGCAAGCCUGAUGCAGCCAUGCCGCGUGUAUGAAGAAGGCCUUCGGGUUGUAAAGUACUUUCAGCGGGGAGGAAGGGAGUAAAGUUAAUACCCUUGCUCAUUGACGUUACCCGCAGAAGAAGCACCGGCUAACUCCGUGCCAGCGGCCGCGGUAAUACGGAGGGUGCAAGCGUUAAUCGGAAUUACUGGGCGUAAAGCGCACGCAGGCGGUUUGUUAAGUCAGAUGUGAAAUCCCCGGGCUCAACCUGGGAACUGCAUCUGAUACUGGCAAGCUUGAGUCUCGUAGAGGGGGGUAGAAUUCCAGGUGUAGAGGUGAAAUGCGUAGAGAUCUGGAGGAAUACCGGUGGCGAAGGCGGCCCCCUGGACGAAGACUGACGCUCAGGUGCGAAAGCGUGGGGAGCAAACAGGAUUAGAUACCCGCGUAGUC
rnacentral:rRNA from 1 species